rnacentral:rRNA from 1 species
UAGGGAAUCUUCGGCAAUGGGGGGAACCCUGACCGAGCAACGCCGCGUGAGUGAAGAAGGUUUUCGGAUCGUAAAGCUCUGUUGUUAAGGAAGAACGAGUGUGAGAAUGGAAAGUUCAUGCUGUGACGGUACUUAACCAGAAAGGGACGGCUAACUACGUGCCAGCAGCCGCGGUAAUACGUAGGACCCGAGCGUUGUCCGGAUUUAUUGGGCGUAAAGCGAGCGCAGGCGGUUAGAAAAGUCUGAAGUGAAAGGCAGUGGCUCAACCAUUGUAGGCUUUGGAAACUGUUUAACUUGAGUGCAGAAGGGGAGAGUGGAAUUCCAUGUGUAGCGGUGAAAUGCGUAGAUAUAUGGAGGAACACCGGUGGCGAAAGCGGCUCUCUGGUCUGUAACUGACGCGGAGGCUCGAAAGCGUGGGGAGCGAACAGG